rnacentral:rRNA from 1 species
GGCAUGCAGUCGAACGCGAAAGCCCCUUCGGGGGUGAGUAGAGUGGCGAACGGGUGAGUAACACGUGGGUAACCUGCCCCUCGCAGGGGGAUAACCGGGGGAAACCCCGGCUAAUACCCCGUACGCUUGCCGGGGCGCAUGCUCCGGCAAGGAAAGGUAGCUUCGGCCAUCCGGCGAGGGAGGGGCCCGCGGCCCAUUAGCUAGUUGGUGGGGUAACGGCCCACCAAGGCGACGAUGGGUAGCUGGCGUGAGAGCGCGACCAGCCACACUGGGACUGAGACACGGCCCAGACUCCUACGGGAGGCAGCAGCCAGGAAUCUUGCGCAAUGGGCGAAAGCCUGACGCAGCAACGCCGCGUGGGCGAUGAAGGCCUUCGGGUCGUAAAGCCCUGUUGUCGGGGACGAAGGGCGAAGGGUUAAUAGCCCCUAGCCUGACGGUACCCGACGAGGAGGCCCCGGCUAACUACGUGCCAGCAGCCGCGGUAAUACGUAGGGGGCGAGCGUUGUCCGGAAUCACUGGGCGUAAAGAGCGUGUAGGCGGCUCGGUAAGUCUGCUGUGAAAACCCGGGGCUCAACCCCGGGCGUGCAGUGGAAACUGCCGGGCUAGAGGGCGGCAGAGGCGAGUGGAAUUCCCGGUGUAGCGGUGAAAUGCGCAGAUAUCGGGAGGAACACCAGUAGCGAAGGCGGCUCGCUGGGCCGUCCCUGACGCUGAGACGCGAAAGCUAGGGGAGCGAACAGGAUUAGAUACCCUGGUAGUCCUAGCCGUAAACGAUGGGCACUAGGUGUGGGGGGAGUCGAAUCCCUCCGUGCCCGCANCUAACGCGUUAAGUGCCCCGCCUGGGGAGUACGGGCCGCAAGGCUAAA